rnacentral:lncRNA from 1 species
UGGGCAUUUCUACAUAAUUAUUGAUCAACCUUGAACCAUAGUUUCUCAAAAAGUCAUAUAAAUGGGAGAGGAUUGAGGUAGAAGUAUGUGAUAUAUAAUUUAUUAUCUAAAUUUGGACACUUUUGUCUGGAAAGAAAAAGAAGAAAAGUAAAGAAAAACUGCCAGGAUGCUGGGACAAGAGGUGCACCACAUCCUGCUGGGGAAAGCAAACCAGAACAUCAGGUCAUCCUGGGUAGACACAACCUGAGCCAGUGAGCAACACUGCCCCCAUUCCAGCUGAUUUCUAGUGUAAUUUUCCAUCAUCUGCCUUUUUAAAUGUAGAAAGUCUUGAUUCAGGCUUGACUGGAAGUAUUAAAUGUCUACCUCACUUUUGAUAGGAAGAAGAUGAUUUUUCACCUAGUGGAGUCAUUGAACAGUGGUCUUCAAAUUGGGAUUAUUUCCAAGAAUAGAUUAAAAUGCCAUGAAAAAGAAAAAAUUAUAGAAAAGCAAAAAGAGCUGAAUGCAGUGAAUGAACAUCUGUGAAUGAAGUUGAGAAGGUAUAUGUGGGGCAGACUAGAAUUGCAGUGCACAGAUACAAGAAUGUUGCCUGCUUUGGAGCCAAGACUGCCUUCCGGAUAAAGGGCCCACAGAGAGCUGAGAGCUGUGUAAUACCUCAAAGACUGAAGAAAAGAGUUAGACAGCCAUCUUUCCUUAGAGGAUUUUGCUGCAGACAGCUUGAACUACCAGAAGGUUAUAUACUGACCAUGGGUAGAGUAAGGAAGAAAUACAUCCUUCGGAAAGGACAAUGAAGAUCUUUACAGCAGGGAGGUGAGGACAAAGUGAUUCUCCCUUCUGGAGGAUGCAGCAAAGUGCUGCCUGCCAUCUUGGAAGCACAGAGUAGCCUUCACCACACUCUAAUCCCAUCAGAGCCUUGAUCUUGGACUUGCCAGCCUUCAGAACAGUCUUGCCUCAUCACUGCCAUGACAGGGGGGUCCAAUGUGAGGAUUCUGGUGUCUAUGCCAAGCAUCUCUUUUCCAACGUAGAUCUGAUUUCUUAACAUAGCCAACAGCAAGUCAACAUCAGCUUUGCAGAGAAAAGCAGGGAUGCGUGUGCACAAAGAAAAGGCCAUGUGAGGACAUAGCAAGAGGGAAGCUGUCCGCAAGCCAAGGAAAAAGGCCUCAGGAGAAACCAAAUCUGCCAAUACAUUGAUCUUGGACUUCCAGCAUUCAGAAAUGUAUGUGAAAAUUAAGGACAGAUCCUAUGCUGACCUGAUAAACAAAGAUAGCUCUUUCGAGCUCAAUGUACAUUGAGUGUAACAAGAGGGAAGGAGGGAGGAAACCACUGCCCAUUUGGGAUUCCUUCAAAUUCACAUCUCUCCAAAAUGGGAGACUUGUAUUUUCUGACAUUCAACUUAAUCGAAGAAUAAAGCUUUAACAGUGGCAUCAGUGACAUGAUGAAUGAUGCAUCAUUUUGAAGUAAUAAUGGUUUUCCCAGUGACUCAGAAAUAGCAGUAUGUUCAGAUUCAGUGUGCCUGUUCAUGAGAGCUCUGCAGAAAUUGCACAUCUGGCUCUUUGCCUGUGCACCUGAAGUUAUCUCAGGAGAAAUUAUACAAAUUAAAUACAGACACAGAGAAGGUCUUUUUUAAUUCAAAGGAAAAGAAUAUAUAUUCAAGAAAAGCAAAAAAGGUAAGAGAAAAGGUAAGGGACUGUAGUGAUAUUAAGCUA